rnacentral:rRNA from 1 species
CGUUCUGUAAGCCUGCGAAGGUGUGUUGAGAAGCAUGCUGGAGGUAUCAGAAGUGCGAAUGCUGACAUGAGUAACGACAAUGCGGGUGAAAAACCCGCACGCCGGAAGACCAAGGGUUCCUGCGCAACGCUAAUCGGCGCAGGGUGAGUCGGCCCCUAAGACGAGGGUGAAAGCCGUAGUCGAUGGGAAUCAGGUUAAUAUUCCUGAACCUGGUGGUAGUGACGGACGCCGGAAGUAGUCUCCUCUUACUGGAUUGAGGGGGCUGCCUGGGCGUUCCAGGAAAUAGCUCCACCGUUAAGACCGUACCCGAAACCGACACAGGUGGACUGGUAGAGAAUACCGAGGCGCUUGAGGGAACUAUGUUGAAGGAACUCGGCAAAAUGCCUCCGUAACUUCGGGAUAAGGAGGACCUCGCAUCGGGCAACCGGUGAGGGGUGGCACAGAGUAGGGGGUGGCGACUGUUUACUAAAAACACAGGGCUCUGCGAAGUCUUCCAGACGACGUAUAGGGUCUGACGCCUGCCCGGUGCCGGAAGGUUAAGAGGAGAGGUGAGAGCUUUGAAUCGAAGCCCCGGUAAACGGCGGCCGUAACAAUAACGGUCCUAAGGUAGCGAAAUUCCUUGUCGGGUAAGUUCCGACCCGCACGAAAGGCGUAACGAUCUGAGCACUGUCUCAGAGAGAGACUCGGCGAAAUAGACAUGUCUGUGAAGAGGCGGACUACCUGCACCUGGACAGAAAGACCCUAUGAAGCUUUACUGUAGCUUGAAAUUGUUUUCACGUUUUGCACGCGCAGAAUAGGUGGGAGACUGAGAAAGAAUCUCUUCGGGGGUUCUGGAGUCGUAAGUGAGAUACCACUCUUGCAGGACUAGAAUUCUAACCUCAGACCGUUAUCCGGCUGAGAGACAGUUUUAGGUGGGCAGUUUGACUGGGGCGGUCGCCUCCCAAAAGGUAACGGAGGCGUGCAAAGGUUUCCUUAGGUUGGUUGGAAAUCAACCUUCGAGCGCAAAGGUAUAAGGAAGCUUGAUUGCGAGACCUACAAGUCGAGCAAAGACGAAAGUCGGCCUUAGUGAUCCGACACUACCAAGUGGAAGGAGUGUCGCUCAACGGAUAAAAGUUACUCUAGGGAUAACAGGCUGAUCUCUCCCAAGAGUUCACAUCGACGGAGAGGUUUGGCACCUCGAUGUCGGCUCAUCGCAUCCUGGGGCGGUAGUACGUCCCAAGGGUUGGGCUGUUCGCCCAUGAAAGCGGUACGCGAGCUGGGUUCAGAACGUCGUGAGACAGUUCGGUCCAUAUCCGGUGUAGGCGUUAGAGCAUUGAGAGAAGCUUUCCCUAGUACGAGAGGACCGGGAAAGAUACACCUCUGGUGUACCAGUUAUCGUGCCAACGGUAAACGCUGGGUAGCUACGUGUAGUUGGAUAACCGCUGAAAGCAUCUAAGUGGGAAGCCAUACUCAAGAUGAGUGCUCUCAUCCUUUAAAGGAUUAAGGUCACGGUUAGACUAGCCGUUUGAUAGGUACCAGGUAUAAGUGCAGUAAUGCAUUCAGCCAAGGUAUACUAAUAGACCGAAAACUUGA